AAAAGACGGGUAAAUCCUGAUACGUGCCUGAGGUGCUCCCUUCCAUCGGUUGGCUAAGAGCCUCGGGAACAUCGGCGUAGCAGGGGCCGUCUUUU
rnacentral:sRNA from 12 species